rnacentral:rRNA from 1 species
GUGAGGAAUAUUGCGCAAUGGAGGCAACUCUGACGCAGCCAUGCCGCGUGCAGGAAGAAGGCGCUACGCGUUGUAAACUGCUUUUAACCGGGAAGAAACCCCAGGACGUGUCCUGGGUUGACGGUACCGGAGGAAUAAGCACCGGCUAACUUCGUGCCAGCAGCCGCGGUAAUACGAAGGGUGCAAGCGUUAUCCGGAUUCAUUGGGUUUAAAGGGUGCGUAGGCGGAGCGUUAAGUCAGUGGUGAAAUCCUGCAGCUUAACUGUAGACUUGCCAUUGGUACUGGCGCUCUUGAGUGCGCUUGAAGUGGGCGGAAUGUGCCGUGUAGCGGUGAAAUGCUUAGAUAUGGCACAGAACACCAAUUGCGAAGGCAGCUCACUAAGGCGAUACUGACGCUGAGGCACGAAAGCGUGGGGAUCGAACAGGAUUAGAAACCCCAGUAGUCC